rnacentral:rRNA from 1 species
AACGAACGCUGGCGGCGUGCCUUACACAUGCAAGUCGAACGGCAGCGGGGACUUCGGUCCGUCGGCGAGUGGCGAACGGGUGAGUAAUGUAUCGGAACGUACCUUUCAGUGGGGGAUAACGUAGCGAAAGUUACGCUAAUACCGCAUAUUCUCUGAGGAGGAAAGCAGGGGACCUUCGGGCCUUGUGCUGAUGGAGCGGCCGAUAUCAGAUUAGCUAGUUGGGGAGGUAAAGGCUCACCAAGGCGACGAUCUGUAGGGGGUCUGAGAGGAUGAUCCGCCACACGGGGACUGAGACACGGCCCAGACUCCUACGGGAGGCAGCAGUGGGGAAUUUUGGACAAUGGGCGCAAGCCUGAUCCAGCCAUGCCGCGUGAGUGAAGAAGGCCUUCGGGUUGUAAAGCUCUUUCGGACGGGAAGAAAUUGGUGGGGCUAAUAUCCCCAUCGGAUGACGGUACCGUAAUAAGAAGCACCGGCUAACUACGUGCCAGCCGCCGCGGUAAAAC